GACGAACGCUGGCGGCGUGCUUAACACAUGCAAGUCGAGCGGUAAGGCUCCUUCGGGAGUACACGAGCGGCGCACGGGUGAGUAACACGUGAGUAAUCUGCCCUUCACUUCGGGAUAACCACCGGAAACGGUGGCUAAUACCGAAUACGACCAGUCUUCGCAUGAGGUGCUGGUGGAAAGUCUUUUCGGUGAAGGAUGUGCUCGCGGCCUAUCAGCUUGUUGGUGGGGUAAUGGCCUACCAAGGCUUCGACGGGUAGCCGGCCUGAGAGGGUGACCGGCCACACUGGGACUGAGACACGGCCCAGACUCCUACGGGAGGCAGCAGUGGGGAAUAUUGGACAAUGGGCGAAAGCCUGAUCCAGCAAAGCCGCGUGAGGGAUGACGGCCUUCGGGUUGUAAACCUCUUUCAGUACCGACGAAGCGCCCUGUCGGGUGGUGACGGUAGGUACAGAAGAAGGACCGGCCAACUACGUG
rnacentral:rRNA from 1 species